UGAAGCUAGCUGAAAAUGAG
rnacentral:snRNA from 1 species